ensembl:lncRNA
AUGGACAGAUACACCAAAAGCAGGAGGAAGCGUGGGUUAAUAUGUGGAUUGAUACUGGGAUGUCUACACAACUGUGUGAGUCGAUUGACUUCCAAAAGUUUGCAGCUUUACUCAAACCAAAGUUGCCACCAAAUAACCAAACUUUAUUUUCACUGCCCAGUUUCGCCUCACUGCGAUCGAUGUGGUGAGCGUACUGCGUACCGUCAUAAAGUGCCUCACAGACAUAACCAGGAACGUUGUCCUGCACCAGCUGGCAGUGAAAAGCCGCAAGAUGGCCAGGAUAAUAUCCUGCGAGGACCUGAAGUGGUGCCAGGAGGGGGCCAAACUGGGGGUUCCAAAGCUGCUUGGGAACACAAGACAAGUCAUUUGGGGCGGCCCAAAUGUUCUUGGAGACUGACGAGUUUCGCUGGCUGGAGAGGUGGCUGCAGCUGCGGAAGGCCAGCAAGCCACUGAACCAGCUGGUUUUUUUCACGGCUAAGAAGGGCCCAUGCUAAAACUUCUUGCACCACCUGCAGGACGCGUGGGCGGAGAUGGGCCUUAAAGGGUCCCCGAAUUUCACCGACCUAAGGACCGCUGUGUCUGCUCAUGUGAGUUCUCCUCAGUCACUCAUCUGUUAAUGCUGGAUUUCAUUAAAACUCUGCUGGCUGUAGCAAUCUUUUCUCUUCUACUGUUUUAAGGCAAAGAACAACCUGUCUGCCGAGCAGCAGAAGAUGGUGGCCACCUUUAUGUGCAACAACACGGCCACCGCUGACUGCUUCUACGCCCUCAUCCUUUCCGCCAGGCCCUCACCCACACCAUGCCAUCACCAGAGUCACCAGAAGCCUCCACCACCAGGAAGAGGUCCCGCAAUCCUGAUUCCUCCUCCAGUUCCGAGGACGAAACCCCUGUCCCCUACCAGGAGUCAGGGACCUCGGGACUGAAGGAGGAGAGGGAGUUUAUAGCGAGGCUGCAAAAUGUAAGUAAAACUCUAAGAUAUGUACUUUAAAGACUCCAUUUCAUGUCAGUUACAUCAGACCUCACUCUGUGUUUUGUGUUUGUUUUCCUCAACAGACACCAGAGAAGGCCCUCAGGACGAGCCAGUACGGCAGGCUGGUGGCGCUGACUGCGCUCGAGGCUCAACUCAACCUGUCUAAAAAGAUUUCAGAGAGGGCGAGAAGGGCAGCGUAUCGAGCAGUCAUCGGACUCUAACAUCUCUUGAUCUGUGCAGGACUUCAGUGUGAGCGGACUAUUUAGAGACGAUGUGACCGGCAGGUAAUGUUAACGGCUAUCUGCUACUGUAGCAGAGCUGCAAGUAAACGCUGAACUGAGCUGUGUGUUUUCAGUGUUAAACAUUGCUGCAGGUUUUCAUGCAUGACUGUUAUUGGUGAUUUCCAGAGGUGGAAGACUUACUCAGAUCAUGUAUUGCAGUAAAAGUAGAAAAAACUGUGUUGUACAGUUACAAGUUACUUGUCAGUUACAAGUCCUGCAUUCAACAUCUCCCUUAAGUUAAAGUACAAAAGUAUUAUCAAAAUAUACUUAAAGUACCAAAAGUAAAAGUAAAAUUAUGCAGUGUAAUAUAUCUUAUUUAAUUCGAUUAUAUUAUUAUCC